GUUAUUUAUAACCUCUAUGCUUCUCUCGAUCUAUUCAAUAUGGUGGUCAGUCAAGAAAUGUUUUUGCUUGCAAAAAGAUCGUAAAAUGUUGGCGCUACAAACUCGGAAAAGAUUGUAAAUGAGAUCAGGAUAACAAGAAGGAAGUAUCCAAACAAAUUCAAAGAUGACUAAUUUUAACAUGGUUCAUAAGAAAGUCCUUCCUUGAAAACCUACUUCAGUCAUUGGUCGUCUGAUGGCGAUUAAUAUGGAAUCUCAUGAACGGUUGUUUAUCACUGAAGCUAAAGAAUUGAGAUACAACAAUCUUUGACUGACUUUAGGUGUUAGACGUUCGCCCAGCUAUUGUAGACCGCAUGGAAUCGAUUCAAGUCCUUUAAAAAUUUGUGAAUCAAGAUGAGAAUGAACUUAGUGAAUCUGUAAUUGCUGCUAUAUGUUUUGGCUAAAAUAUAAAAAAAAAACUGUUGUAUGUCUCCAAAACAAAGGAGCUUAUAUAUAAUAUGAUACCAAAAAGUACAGGAUUGUUUGACAUCAGAAAUACAAAGAAUUCAGCACACAGCGACAAUUUACCUUUUAAAACGAAACCAAAAAACUAGAAGCAAAAAACAAAUUGUGCUUCAAAACAAAACUAGAAUGCACUGCUUUUAAAAGGUUGAUAUAUAGGAAAGGACAACUUUUUUCUAGGCGUUUAGUGAUUCGUUUAUAGUAACAUCGCUCACGAUGAUGUUCGGAGUUGAUCGGUAUGUUGUCGUACAUUAUCAUACCACGUGAUCUGCUAUGAUCACAUGGUAAUUAUCGCCUAUAAAAGUAAUCUCAACGUUAAAAAAAAAUUUCUUCGAAUAUGUGGCGAUCGAAGGUGGACAGCAAGAUCGAAGCUCAGCAAGAUUGAAGAUUGUUCGAGGAAGAAGGAGUUCGCCGUUGACUAAAAGGUUUAUCUGAACAGCUAGUUGUCAAGAUGAAUGUGAAGACUCGCCCGGCCAAAUUCAAAAUGGCGAUGCCAAAGAAAACCAUCCACGUGGACCGUUCGCGGACCUUUCUGAGCAAGAUUGUU